AUGGCAUCAUUAACAUACAAUCAGGAAACACAUCUUGUGGAGGACCACAGUUUCUUAGAUACCACUCAGUGGACCACCCUGGAUCAAUGCACAGGGGAUAGCCCUGACGGGGACAGUGCAUCACCACAGUCACACUUAUGUAAUCAUGCAAAUGCUCCAUCCCCAAUCAUAGACCAGGAGCAACAGGAACAUCCUUGGGAGAGUAAUGGGCUCUCGGAUGUAUCUCAAUGGAUUGUCAUUGAUGAAUGCACUGGGGAUGUUGAGGAGGAGGACAACACUUUACACCUACAUGAUUCACUUCAACAGGAACACUCUUCAGGGGACAUACACACUGUCUUGCACAAAAGGGACCCUGUCAAUCCUCAAAGGAAACAGGUCUUGGUAGUAGGUGACUCCCUCCUUAGAGGAACGGAAGCCAUCAUUUCCAGACCGGAUGGGAUGGCUCGAGAAACAUGCUGCCUCCCGGGGGCAAAAAUACACCAUAUCACUCAGAGGCUCAGCAGGCUCCUAAAGCCCCAUCACCCUCAAACACACCUGAUCCAAAACACUGUUCCUCUUCUCAAGUCACACUCUCUCAGCCCCCAUCCCAGCCGUUCCUUUGAAGCCUGAUGCCCCCCCCCAAAUUGUAUCUGCCCCUGCCACUCAACUCCUGCCACAUUCUGAGUUUUCCUCAGAUGGGAAGAAUCACCCACCAUCCCCCCUCCUUCUCUUGCCCCCACCAGGCUCUCUCUCUCUCUCUCUCUCUCUGCGCUCAUUCCUCUCUUGGAGAGAGAGGAGAAGGAGGGGCUGCGGGGAGAUUGUGCAAAGAGGACACUUUUUUUCUCUUCCUGUUUUUGGAGGGGCAAAGGGGGGAGAAGAUUCAGUCCUGAAGCCUGCCACCAAGAUCUAUAGUUCUCCAAGGAUCGCUUCCUUCUUUCAAAUCAAAUCUUCUCCAACUUGAUAUUCUGCCUUGCCUACCCUCAAAUUGCACCCUUUUUUUUCUUUUCUCUCUCUCUCUCUCUUCCCCGGCCUGAGUGAAAAUCUCUCUCUCUCUCUCAAAUCUCAAAUCCAUUUCUCCUCUCCUUCCUCUCUUCUCACCUUUUAAAAUCCCUUAUUUCCCUUUGUUCCCAUUUUCUAGACACUAUCCCUAAGAUUUUACCUCAGUGUUGUCUUAUAUUUCCUUUGGUCCUUACAAAAGGGGGGAGGGGGGCCAUUCCUUUAGCCGCUUCUGUUUCUUAAUUUCCCCUUUUCUUUCUCUCCCAUCUGGGAAGCAUGGCAAAGGAUUUGGGUGGGGGAGGGGGACUCCCAGAAAAGUGUUGGUUAAAUUUUGUGUGUUUAUGUAAUGUGUGGGCUGUAAACUCUUCUCUACUCAUCCCUUUGCCUUAAAAGCCACCAGUGAUAUAUAGUUUUCUGGGAAGGAGGGCUGGAAUGGACUAGCUUAGUGCUAUGCUCUCUCUCUCUCUCCCUUUUCUUCUGUGCCAUCUCACCUCCCUAUUUUCAAAGGUUCAAGCCCUAAUAUUUUGUGACCCCCCCCCCCCAGAGAAAUCCUGCUGCUUCUGUGGGAUUAACUUUUUUUUUGUCUCUCUCUUCUCGACAUCCCUUAUCUUAGGGACAAAUGGGGGUGGGAAGAAUGCAUGUAUUUUUCUAUAUGUGAGUUUUUUUCUCUCUCUCUCUCCCUUUCACUUCAUGUUUUCCUAGGCCAAAAUGCGCUUCAACAUUCUCCUUUUUCAAAGCUUUCUCUCCCCCCUUCCUUUCCCUGUGAAGGGAACUCCCAGCAUCCCCAUUUUCUCCUUAUAAACAUACAGUCAAAAUCCUGGGUUACUUUUAUAGUAAAGGGCACUCUUUCACUCUCCACAGUUCCCCAACAAUCUCCUUUCUUCCUUUCGGGGUCCUUCUCCCUCCCUUUCCCUGAGUGCAUGCGUGUGAAUGUGUUAAAAUCCCUUCUAACUGGCUUUUAAUAUGAGGGGGGGAGUACAAAGUUCUAGGGAACCCUCCAG
ensembl:lncRNA